AGCUCCAAUAGCGUAUAUUAAAGUUGUUGCAGUUAAAAAGCUCGUAGUUGGAUUUGUGGCGUAUGGUGUGUUCCGGGCACUUGUUGUCUGAGUAACUUGCCAUUGCCAUCCUUGGGUGGAACCUGUGUGGCAUUAAGUUGUCGUGCAGGGGAUGCCCAUCGUUUACUGUGAAAAAAUUAGAGUGUUCAAAGCAGGCUUAUGCCGUUGAAUAUAUUAGCAUGGAAUAAUAAGAUAGGACUUUUUCGCUAUUUUGUUGGUUUGCGCGGAGAGGUAAUGAUUAAUAGGGAUAGUUGGGGGUAUUCGUAUUCCAUUGUCAGAGGUGAAAUUCUUGGAUUUUUGGAAGACGAACUACUGCGAAAGCAUUUACCAAGGAUGUUUUCAUUAAUCAAGAACGAAAGUA
rnacentral:rRNA from 1 species